AAUGGUCCCUCAAGAUGUAUUUGGCGAACGGCAAGAAAACAGUCAUUUUAGUCACUGCGUGACUUCCGUGUCUCCAUGUCCCAGCCCUUCUCAUGGGCUGUAUCUGUCAGUCACCGCCAGGGGGUUGGACCGGAUGAUCUACUCGAUCAGGAAGGGAAUCUGUUGAAAAGGAGCUCACUGUAUUUUUGUUCUUGCUGUAGGGGCACGGCUCCCAGAAACUACUCCCGUUGGUGAAUGCUGUUACAGGGACAGUACUCGCUGAAACUACUCCUGCUGCUGCUAAAUGUUACUGCUGCUGUUCCAGGUGACUUGCCUGUCCCGGUUUCUGGGUUCACUGGGGAUCAGGUUAUGCUGCCCUGUACCUACAAGGGGAAUGUCCCAGUCUCAGACUUAUGGGUGAUAUGGAGGACACUCGAGGACGAAGUGUUAUGUGAAUUUUUCAACGGAAAUGAAGAUUUGAGAAAACAAGAACCACGGUUCCGAAACGGGACAAACCUGUUCAAAGAUCAGCUGCAACAUGGCAACUGGUCAGUUCUGAUCUCUGACCUUGGAGAGUCAGACCAAGAUGAGUACCAGUGUUGGAUUCAAAUAGAACGGGUGUGCAUUUUUCUUUGGAGCAUUCUGGUUUUGUCUAUCUCUUUGUAAGAGGUCCUGGAUUCUCCACUAGAGCAAAAGUUGGAUUGGGAAUCGGAAUUGCUACCAUUAUUGUUGUCUUCAUUGCAAUUGGGGUUUAUGUCGUUCUAAAACAAAACAGAUGGGAUUGUUGUCAAAACCAACACUCCAGUGAUCAAAAUGAAGCCUCAAAAUGUGCCCCCGUGACAAAGGUGAAUCUUUCAGGUGAGGCACAGAGCCCUGAGCAUCAGGAUGGCGCGGCUGGAGAACAAAGCCUUCUGCUGAAGGGGGCUGUGCGUCACUAACUGAGUUUCUACUGCACUGAGCCUGGGUCAGUCCGUGGGGAUCGAGUGAUUCCUCAGUGGAAAGUCUGAGCACAGGAUUUGGAUCAAUAAUCACUUCCCACUUUGCACAGACAGUUCUGAGCAGCGUAAUCUCAGGAUGGAGCAUCACAUUGGAAGUGUUUUCCCAGAAAACUGUUCAAAUAUUUCAUCCUGUGUAUUCAAUUGUUACUGUAACAGACUGUGUCCAAACCCAGUGAGAGGGUCAUGCAGGACCAUCAUUAAAGGUGUAACCCAUUGCUCACUGCCUGAGAGCUAACAACUUCUAAACUAUCAUUGAUGAGUGAAUGGGAAUGUCAGAUGGUUUGUGAUUAGAUUCCCUACAGUGUAGAAACAGGCCCUUCAGCCCAACAAGUCCAUGCUGCCCCUUGAAGCAUCCCACACACCCCUGAACACUACGGGCAAUUUAGCACGGCCGGUCCACCUAGCCUGCACAUCUUUGGACUGUGGGAGGAAACCGGAGCACCCGGAGGAAACCCACACAGACACAGGGAGAACGUGCAAACUCCACACAGUUGCCCGAGGCUGGAAUCGAACCCAGGUCCCUGGUGCAGUGCUAACCACUGAGCCACUCUGCCGCCCUAGUGAAUUCAUGAACUUGUUCUCAGUGUGUGUAAUGCUGCCAGGGUCCCAUUUAUUGCUCAUGUUGACUUGAUGCACUGCAGUCCCUGGUGUUCCCACAGUGGGGAAUGUGAAGAGGCUCCAGAACUCCCUCUGCAGCAGCAUCUACUGGGCAAAGCCAGGUACUACAUCAUUGAGAGCAACUGCUUUACAUCCAGAAAUCUGACUUUGGGUGGCUUACAGAUUGAAACUACAUCUGAACAACAUGUAUCUCCUGUAUAUUUAAUUCCAGAUUUAAUAUAAAUUGUAUGUCUAUAAUAAACUGUAAAUAUUUAAUCUCCAUGAGUUCACUGAUCAGUCCAUCUGGCCUGUUCGGCUGUAGCCUCCUGUAAGACUUGAAUCCCUAUGGUGUGAAAACAGAACUUUUGGCCCAACAAGUCCACACUGACCUCAGACAUCCCCCCCAAGAUCCAUCCUCCUAUAACCCACCUAACCUACACAUCCCUAGUCAAUUUCGGUAAUUUAGCAUGGUCAAUCCACCUAGCCUGCUCAUCCUAGGACUGUGGGAGGAAACCGGAGCACCUGGAGGAAACCCACAAGGACACAGGAUGAAUGUGUAAACUCUACACAGACAGUUUCCCAACUGGUGGAAUUGAAUCCCAGGUUCCUGGCGCUAACCACUGCUGCCUCACAGUGCCAGGGGCCCAGGUUCGGUUCCAGCCUUGGACAACUGUCUGUGUGGAGUUCACACAUUUUGUUCCUCCCCCUGUCUGUGUGGGUGUUUUUAUCCUAGCUAUUCGUACUGAUUGUACAGGUAUAUCUUGUAAAUUUAAACAAGAUUUUUUCCAUUUAAAGUAUUUGCUCCAAGAGCAUGUAGUCAUCAUUUUCAAAAGAAUGAUAGACUUGUAAGCAUUCAAUAUAUGGAUAUUUUAGAGUUGGAUAUUUCAUUCCUGUAUUUUUAUCUUGGAUAUUUAUUUUUCUACCUGUUUUUGCUCCAAGCUGUGAUUAAAGAGAA